rnacentral:rRNA from 1 species
UGGGGAAUAUUGCACAAUGGGCGAAAGCCUGAUGCAGCAACGCCGCGUGAGCGAUGAAGGCCUUCGGGUCGUAAAGCUCUGUCCUCAAGGAAGAUAAUGACGGUACUUGAGGAGGAAGCCCCGGCUAACUACGUGCCAGCAGCCGCGGUAAUACGUAGGGGGCUAGCGUUAUCCGGAAUUACUGGGCGUAAAGGGUGCGUAGGUGGUUUCUUAAGUCAGAAGUGAAAGGCUACGGCUCAACCGUAGUAAGCUUUUGAAACUGAGAAACUUGAGUGCAGGAGAGGAGAGGAGAAUUCCUAGUGUAGCGGUGAAAUGCGUAGAUAUUAGGAGGAAUACCAGUUGCGAAGGCGGCUCUCUGGACUGUAACUGACACUGAGGCACGAAAGCGUGGGGAGCAAACA